UUGUACUCUGAAGAAAUGACAAGUUUCGAACAAUUGAAAGGGAAGAUUGCUCGAGUAUUUCAUAAAGUAAGUGACCAGAAAACUGAAAUAUUCCGGUUUAUCGUGUGUUCUCUAAUGAGAUAAACACAAACUGAAAUAAAACGAGUGGAAGUAAGUACAGAUAUUAAUUAACAUCAAAUUCUCCGCCAAGUUGAGAUACAGUUAACCGCUUAACCUACGAUUUACGUUCGAGAAUUUUGGGCCGAAAACGUAAACAAGCUCGCGCAGCCUUCGAGCCAUUCGCACGAUGUGUUGUGUAAUACGAUGACCCUUACUAUGCCCGUAAUAUUUACGUUUGGCUCGAUCAUCGUACUACAGGCUAUGCUUGUAGUUGCAGGUUAAGAGAAAAAUGUCCAUCUUAUGAGUUUCAAAAUAGUGAAAAAGGACCUGAUCCACAACAGCCUCAAAUAUAUGUCACUCUGUUUUCCCAAGUUAGAAAAUCAAACGUUUGUUCCAACCGCUUCAGAGCUUCCAGUCUCCUUGCAAUACGGAACACCUUGUACAGAAGCAAUAGGAUGUUGUUGAUCCUCGAGCGUCUUAAGCCUCGGACACGAAACGAUCCUCAGGUUCAAUACAUUGUGCGGCGAAUGGACGUGUUUCUCGGAGCUUAACAAGAACGCACGAGCGAGGACAACCGAUCGAGGCAAUGUCUUUAUCGAUAAUGUCUUGAUCGAGGCGGAGCGAGGGACAUUCGCGCGAGAGACCGGUUUCUUUGCCAAGGUUCCAGCCAGUCUUCGAGAUUAUCGGUUAACUGUACUUGUCCCGUUAGCCGUGAUAACGGCAGAUUGCAAAAGUGCUCGACUUUAGUAACACGAGGAUAGAACUUACUUAAACCUUAAUGGAUCGACGCUGGCUUGACGAGCAAUGGAUUCACUCACCUGAAACAAGAAACAGAUAUUCUAUGUAAGAUGGAUGGUUUGAAGGUUCUAAUGGAUACAAAUAAAUAUUUCGAGAGAUACAAUGAAUAAAUUAAAAUAUAUUAGAUACAUUAGCUUAUAGUAACAGUAUAUUAAUAUUAAUGUAGGACACAUAUCGAUCUAGCAGUUAUUAAUAUUCUCUUUUCACUAAAAAGUGGAAUUUUGAGGUUACGAAAUGUCGUCUCAUUCGCAGAGACUUGAAAUUCUAUGUUCGUCAUAGACUUUUAGAAGCACGUGAGAUAAGAGUUGAUCGCUCAUACGAUUACUUUGUUACAGCUAUGUAUUAAAUUUGAAUUAUUCAAGAGAUAUAUAAUGGCUGACGAAAGUAUUCGAACACUUACAUAUGCAAACUUGAAUGGCCGAAAUAAUGUACAUUAAAGUAAUUUGCUUAGACAAGCAGAUGUCAAUAGAAAGAUGGAAGUUUUAAGGUUAUGUCAGUAAAAUUUGAAAAGGAUUCAACAACGUAGCCCAUAAAUUUUCAAUCGGAUUUAUGUCUGAACUUUGCGGUGGAGUAAUUAGCAUGUGUGAUGUGUUAUAUACGAUCCAUUUUUUCGCAAUUCUAGCAGUAUGCUUAGGAUCAUUAUCUUGUUGGAAGUGGAAAUCUUCCAAUAAUCCCAAUUUACAGGCACUUGUUUAAUGUUAUUUUUUAAAUAUUUAAAUACUUAUAUUUAUCAAGUAUUCCAUCAAUAAAUAUCAAAUUUCCGGUGCCACUGGCAGCCAUGCACCCCCACACCAUAACCGAUCCGCCUCCGUGUUUGAUGUAAAUAUCGAAUUUUCAAUUCCAUAUUUGGUUUUCUUCACAUUUAAUUUUGACCAUCCGAGCCAAAAAUGUUAAACUUUGACCCGUCCGAAAAGAUGACUUUGUGCCAAAAAGAAUUAUUUUUAUUAAUAUAGGUUUUGCAAAAGUCAAUCUUUUUCUAUGAUUUA
rnacentral:misc_RNA from 1 species